rnacentral:rRNA from 1 species
AUUGAACGCUGGCGGAAUGCUUUACACAUGCAAGUCGAACGGCAGCACGGGGGCAGCCCUGGUGGCGAGUGGCGAACGGGUGAGUAAUACAUCGGAACGUGCCCGGUCGUGGGGGAUAACGUAGCGAAAGUUACGCUAAUACCGCAUACGAUCUGAGGAUGAAAGCGGGGGACCUUCGGGCCUCGCGCGAUCGGAGCGGCCGAUGUCAGAUUAGGUAGUUGGUGGGGUAAAGGCCUACCAAGCCGACGAUCUGUAGCUGGUCUGAGAGGACGACCAGCCACACUGGGACUGAGACACGGCCCAGACUCCUACGGGAGGCAGCAGUGGGGAAUUUUGGACAACGGGCGCAAGCCUGAUCCAGCCAUUCCGCGUGCAGGACGAAGGCCUUCGGGUUGUAAACUGCUUUUGUACGGAACGAAAAGGCUCUGGCUAAUACCUGGGGCUCAUGACGGUACCGUAAGAAUAAGCACCGGCUAACUACGUG